rnacentral:lncRNA from 1 species
GGGGAAACCUGUGAAAUUUGGGGUUUUCCAAGACAUAACCCAUUUUGCAUCCAAUUAGCGGAAGAAAUUAGGGGCUUGAAACCGAUUCCCAAUUACCAGCUUACAACUAUAAUGUCUUCAAGUUCAUCCUUUGAAGUGCAUAGCAGAUGGAGAAAUUUGGAUGCGGGAUCGUCCAGCUCAGCUACAAAUCGAUCUUCAAGGAAAGAGGCCUAUGGAAGUUCAC